rnacentral:rRNA from 1 species
UACGGGGGGAGCAAGCGUUGUUCGGAUUUACUGGGCGUAAAGGGCGCGUAGGCGGUCAGCACAAGUCAGUUGUGAAAUCUCCGGGCUUAACUCGGAAAGGUCAACUGAUACUGUGCGACUGGAGUGCAGAAGGGGCAACUGGAAUUCUCGGUGUAGCGGUGAAAUGCGUAGAUAUCGAGAGGAACACCUGCGGCGAAGGCGGGUUGCUGGGCUGGUCCUGACACUCAGGAGCGAAAGCGUGGGGAGCGAUCCGG